GCAUAACUAGAGUGUUUUCACACUAGUGUUGUUACAUGGACCUGGUUGCACUUCACAGGACUGGAGUGAGGGUACUGUAAUAAGGCGCACUGUGAUAGGACUGGAGUGAGGGUAGUGUAAUAAAGCGCACUGUGAUAGGACUGAAGUGAAGGUACUGUAAUAAUAAAACGCACUGUGGUAGGACUGAAGUGAGGGUACAGUAAUAAAGCGCACUGUGGUAGGACUGAAGUGAGGGUACUGUAAUAAGGAGCACUGUGAUAGGACUGGAGUGAGGGUACUGUAAUAAGGAGCACUGUGAUAGGACUGGAGUGAGGGUACUGUAAUAAGGAGCACUGUGAUAGGACUGGAGUGAGAGUACUGUAAUAAUAAAGCGCACUGUGAUAGGACUGGAGUGAGGGUACUGUAAUAAGGAGCACUGUGAUAGGACUGGAGUGAGGGUACUGUAAUAAUAAAGCGCACUGUGAUAGGACUGGAGUGAGGGUACUGUAAUAAAGCGCACUGUGAUAGGACUGGAGUGAGGGUACUGUAAUAAGGCGCACUGUGAAAGGACUGGAGUGAGGGUACUGUAAUAAGGCACACUGUGGUAUGACUGGAGUGAGGGUAGUGUAAUAAGGCGCACUGUGAUAGGACUGGAGUGAGGGUACUGUAAUAAUAAAGCGCACUGUGAUAGGACUGGAGUGAGGGUACUGUAAUAAAGCGCACUGUGAUAGGACUGGAGUGAGGGUACUGUAAUAAGGCGCACUGUGAAAGGACUGGAGUGAGGGUACUGUAAUAAGGCACACUGUGGUAUGACUGGAGUGAGGGUACUGUAAUAAGGAGCACUGUGAUAGGACUGGAGUGAGGGUACUGUAAUAAUAAAGCGCACUGUGAUAGGACUGGAGUGAGGGUACUGUAAUAAAGCGCACUGUGAUAGGACUAGAGUGAGGGUACUGUAAUAAGGCACACUGUGAUAGGACUGGAGUGAAGGUACUCUAAUAAGGCGCACUGUGAUAGGACUGGAGUGAAGGUACUGUAAUAAGGCGCACUGUGAUAGGACUGGAGUGAAGGUACUGUAAUAAAGCGCACUGUGAUAGGACUGGAGUGAGGGUACUGUAAAAAUAAAGCGCACCGUGAUAGGACUGGAGUGAGAGUACUGUAAUAAGGCUCACUGUGAUAGGACUGGAGUGAGGGUACUGUAAUAAGGCGUACUGUGAUAUGACUGGAGUGAGGGUACUGUAAUAAUAAAGAGCACUGUGGUAGGACUGGAGUGAAAGUACUGUAAUAAUAAAGAGCACUGUGAUAGGACUGGAGUGAGGGUACUGUAAUAAUAAAGCGCACUGUGAUAGGACUGGAGUGAGGGUACUGUAAUAAUAAAGCGCACUGUGAUAGGACUGGAGUGAGGGUACUGUAAUAAAGCGCACUGUGAUAGGACUGGAGUGAGGGUACUGUAAUAAAGCGCACUGUGAUAGGACUGGAGUGAGGGUACUGUAAUAAAGCGCACUGUGAUAGGACUGGAGUGAGGGUACUGUAAUAAUAAAGCGCACUGUGAUAGGACUGGAGUGAGGGUACUGUAAUAAUAAAGUGCAGUGUGAUAGGACUGGAGUGAGGGUACUGUAAUAAUAAAGCGCACUGUGAUAGGACUGGAGUGAGAGUACUGUAAUAAUAAAGCGCACUGUGAUAGGACCGGAGUGAGGGUACUGUAAUAAAGCGCACUGUGAUAGGACUGGAGUGAGGGUACUGUAAUAAAGCGCACUGUGAUAGGACUGGAGUGAGAGUACUGUAAUAAUACAGCGUACUGUGAUAGGACUGGAGUGAGGGUACUGUAAUAAUAAAGCGCACUGUGAUAGAACUGGAGUGAGGGUACUGUAAUAAAGCGCACUGUGAUAGGACUGGAGUGAGGGUACUGUAAUAAAGCGCACUGUGAUAGGACUGGAGUGAGGGUACUGUAAUAAAGCGCACUGUGAUAGGACUGGAGUGAGGGUACUGUAAUAAAGCGCACUGUGAUAGGACUGGAGUGAGGGUACUGUAAUAAAGCGCACUGUGAUAGGACUGGAGUGAGGGUAGUGUAAUAAAGCGCACUGUGAUAGGACUGGAGUGAGGGUACUGUAAUAAAGCGCACUGUGAUAGGACUGGAGUGAGGGUAGUGUAAUAAAGCGCACUGUGAUAGGACUGGAGUGAGGGUAGUGUAAUAAAGCGCACUGUGAUAGGACUGGAGUGAGGGUACUGUAAUAAAGCGCACUGUGAUAGGACUGGAGUGAGAGUACUGUAAUAAUACAGCGUACUGUGAUAGGACUGGAGUGAGGGUAGUGUAAUAAAGCGCAUUGUGAUAGGACUGGAGUGAGGGUACUGUAAUAAAGCGCACUGUGAUAGGACUGGAGUGAGGGUAGUGUAAUAAAGUGCACUGUGAUAGGACUGGAGUGAGGGUACUGUAAUAAAGCGCACUGUGAUAGGACUGGAGUGAGGGUAGUGUAAUAAAGCGCACUGUGAUAGGACUGGAGUGAGGGUAGUGUAAUAAAGCGCACUGUGAUAGGACUGGAGUGAGGGUACUGUAAUAAAGCGCACUGUGAUAGGACUGGAGUGAGAGUACUGUAAUAAUACAGCGUACUGUGAUAGGACUGGAGUGAGGGUACUGUAAUAAAGCGCACUGUGAUAGGACUGGAGUGAGAGUACUGUAAUAAUACAGCGUACUGUGAUAGGACUGGAGUGAGGGUAGUGUAAUAAAGCGCAUUGUGAUAGGACUGGAGUGAAGGUACUGUAAUAAGGUGCACUGAGAUAAGCUCAGCUUUGUGGAGUAAGUGUGGAUACUGACAGUAUCUUCCCAUACCAGAAUGACUGCUGGUUUGGAGGAGCUUGUGUAUAGUGAAAUGCAGAUUGUACAAAAAGCUCUUUCCCUUAUGAUUGAAAACAAACCAGCGAUAAUGGGUGCAAACUCAUUUUUUCGAGACAUGUGUGAAAACGCCCUAAAUCUGACCCCUUAGCUGCACAAAUGUUCCAGCAGCCCUGCCGUCAGAUGGUCUCAGGUCAGGCAUGGAGCCACAGCUUGUUCCAAACAUUUGUCUUUCCCUUUAAGGAAAGUGCAGCAGACCUCAGCAUUGACAACUGUUCCUGAGUCUGUGAUACACAGACUCAGAAGAGAAACCCCAGAGAGGUUUCAUUUCUUAACAGACAGCAAACACUAAACACUACAGCCAGACCAGCAAAUCCAGACCUUCUUCUGCUCUUCUCCAUCACUCUCACUAUCAGGCCUCCUAAUUCUGCAUUACAUUCUGCUCCAAGCCUGUGUGAUCAGCGUCUUUCUGCGUUCGAUCUCUCACCACUCUCUCUUUUUCUGACUCAAUCUACUCAAUCUUUUUUUUCUAAAUAUGUUUCUCUCUCUUUUCUUUUCACCUGUCUCUCUGUUUUAAUCUGUUUCUUUCUCUGUAUCUGUCUUUCUCUCUCCCUCAGCCCCUCACUUACUUUCCUACCACUUUCUUACUAACUCAAUCUACUCUCUCUCUAUUUCUCUAUCUGUUUCUCUCUCUUUUCUUUUGAUCUGUCUCUCUCUUUCUUAGCCCCUUUCUCUCUCUCUCUCUCUCUCUCUCUCUCUCUCUCUCUCUCUCUCUCUCUCAGCCCCUCACUCCCCCCCCCCCCCUCUCUCUCUCUGUAGGAAG